rnacentral:rRNA from 1 species
UACAGAGGGUGCGAGCGUUGUUCGGAAUUAUUGGGCGUAAAGGGCGCGUAGGCGGUGCGGUAAGUCACCUGUGAAAUCUCCUGGCUCAACUGGGAGCUUGCAGGCGAAACUGCCGUGCUGGAGUGUGGGAGAGGUGCGUGGAAUUCCCGGUGUAGCGGUGAAAUGCGUAGAUGUCGGGAGGAACACCUGUGGCGAAAGCGGCGCACUGGACCACAACUGACGCUGAGGCGCGAAAGCUAGGGGAGCAAACAGG